GACAGAGGGUGCAAACGUUGCUCGGAAUCACUGGGCGUAAAGGGCGUGUAGGCGGGAAGGAUAGUCAGAUGUGAAAUCCCUGGGCUCAACCCAGGAACUGCAUUUGAAACUCCCUUUCUUGAGUACCGGAGAGGAAGGUGGAAUACCUGGUGUAGAGGUGAAAUUCGUAGAUAUCAGGUGGAACACCAGUGGCGAAGGCGGCCUUCUGGACGGUAACUGACGCUGAGACGCGAAAGCGUGGGGAGCAAACGGG
rnacentral:rRNA from 1 species